rnacentral:rRNA from 1 species
GAUCCUGGCUCAGGAUGAACGCUAGCGGCAGGCCUAACACAUGCAAGUCGAGGGGCAGCACGGUGUAGCAAUACACUGGUGGCGACCGGCGCACGGGUGCGUAACGCGUAUGCAACCUACCCAUAACAGGGGGGAUAACACUGAGAAAUUGGUACUAAUACCCCAUAACAUCAGGACCGGCAUCGGUUCUGGUUGAAAACUCCGGUGGUUAUGGGAUGGGGCAUGCGUUGUAUUAGCUGGUUGG